rnacentral:rRNA from 1 species
CCUACGGGUGGCAGCAGUGAGGAAUAUUGGUCAAUGGACGAGAGUCUGAACCAGCCAAGUAGCGUGAAGGAUGACUGCCCUAUGGGUUGUAAACUUCUUUUAUAUGGGAAUAAAAUGUUCCACGUGUGGGAUUUUGUAUGUACCAUCUGAAUAAGGAUCGGCUACCUCCGUGCCAGCAGCCGCGGUAAUACGGAGGAUCCGGGCGUUAUCCGGAUUUAUUGGGUUUAAAGGGAGCUUAGGCGGAUUGUUACGUCAGUUGUGAAAGUUUGCGGCUCAACCGUAAAAUUGCAGUUGAAACUGGCAGUCUUGAGGACAGUAGAGGUAGGCGGAAUGCGUGGUGUAGCGGUGAAAUGCUUAGAUAUCACGAAGAACUCCGAUUGCGAAGGCAGUUCACUGGACUGCAACUGAAACUGAGGCUCGAAAGUGUGGGUAUCAAACAGGAUUAGAUACCCUAGUAGUC